GCCAGGCAUGGUGGCGCAUGCCUGUAAUCCCAGCUACUCAGGAGGCUGAGGAAGGAGAAUUGCUUGAACCCAGGAGGCAGAGGUUGCAGUGAGCUGAGAUCGUGCCACUGCCCUCCAGCCUGGGUGACAGAGCAAGACUCCAUCUCAA
rnacentral:SRP_RNA from 1 species